GCUUGGUGCCUGGGCCCUAGGAAGCCUGUAUGGGGGCUGCAGCUGAGCUGCUGUCCUGAGGGCAGAGGCCCACAGCAGACUAUACAUCAGGGAGAGAUUAAACACAGCCUUAGACUCUGGAACAAUGAAAUCCAAUACUCACGCAGUCUACAGAAGAUCCAGGUGAGCAUGCCUUUUCCUGAGAUGAC
rnacentral:lncRNA from 1 species